AUUACGUCCCUGCCCUUUGUACACACCGCCCGUCGCUACUACCGAUUGAAUGGCUUAGUGAGACUUUCGGAUGUGUUUGGAGCCGCUGGCAACAGUGACACCUUGCGCAGAAGUUAUUCAAACUUGGUCAUUUAGAGGAAGUAAAAGUCGUAACAAGGUUUCCGUAGGUGAACCUGCGGAAGGAUCAUUAA
rnacentral:rRNA from 1 species